GAUGAAGAACGUAGCGAAAUGCGAUAAGUAAUGUGAAUUGCAGAAUUCAGUGAAUCAUCGAAUCUUUGAACGCAUCUUGCGCUCCUUGGUAUUCCUUGGAGCAUGCCUGUUUGAGUAUCAUGAGCAAAUCUCAAAGUCAAUUCCUUUUGUUAAUUCAAUUGGUUUUGCUUUGGACUUGGAGGUCUUGCAGAUUUCACAGUCUGCUCCUCUUAAAUGCAUUAGCUGGAUCUCAGUAAUUAUGCUUGGUUCCACUCGGCGUGAUAAGUAUCACUCGCUGAGGACACUGUUAAAAAGGUGGCCAGGAAAAUACUGAUUGAACCGCUUCUAACGGUCUAUUAAGUUAGACAAUUGACCCUUAAGUUUGAUCUCAAAUCAGGUAGGACUACCCGCUGAACUUAAGCAUAUCAAUAAGCGGAGGA
rnacentral:misc_RNA from 1 species